rnacentral:rRNA from 1 species
CUACGGGGGGCUCCAGUGGGGAAUAUUGGACAAUGGGGGAAACCCUGAUCCAGCAAUGCCGCGUGUGUGAAGAAGGCCUGCGGGUUGUAAAGCACUUUCGGUUGGGAGGACUGCUUCUAGCACUAAUAUUGUUGGAAGUUGACGUUACCUUCAGAAGAAGCACCGGCUAACUCCGUGCCAGCAGCCGCGGUAAUACGGGAGGGUGCAAGCGUUAAUCGGAAUUACUGGGCGUAAAGCGCGCGUAGGCGGCUAGAUCAGUCGGGUGUGAAAGCCCCGGGCUUAACCUGGGAACUGCAUCCGAUACUGUGGAGGUUGAGUGCAGGAGAGGAGGGUGGAAUUCCACAUGUAGCGGUGAAAUGCGUAGAUAUGUGGAGGAACAGCAAUGGCGAAGGCAGCUCGCUGGCCUGAUACUGACGCUGAGGUGCGAAAGCGUGGGGAGCAAACAGGAUUAGAUACCCCAGUAGUC